UACGAAGGGGGCUAGCGUUGCUCGGAAUGACUGGGCGUAAAGGGCGCGUAGGCGGUUUGGACAGUCAGAUGUGAAAUUCCUGGGCUCAACCUGGGGGCUGCAUUUGAUACGUUCGGACUAGAGUGGGGAAGAGGGUCGUGGAAUUCCCAGUGUAGAGGUGAAAUUCGUAGAUAUCUGGAGGAACACCGGUGGCGAAGGCGGCAUUCUGGACCGAUAUUGACGCUGAGGAGCGAAAGCCAGGGGAGCAAACGGG
rnacentral:rRNA from 1 species